rnacentral:misc_RNA from 1 species
AACGCACCUUGCGCCCUUUGGCUAUUCCGAAGGGCAUGCCUGUUUGAGUAUCAUGAACACCUCAACUCUCAUGGCUUGCCAUGACGAGCUUGGACUUUGGGGGUUUUGCUGGCCUGUGGUCGGCUCCUCUGAAAUGAAUUAGCUUGCCAGUAUUUGGUGGCAUCACAGGUGUGAUAACUAUCUACGCUUGUGGUUUUCCACCAGGUAACCUUCAGUGAUGGAGGUUUGCUGGGGCUUAUAAAUGUCUCUCCUCAGUGAGGACAGCUCUUUGAACGUUUGAUCUCAAAUCAGGUAGGACUACCCGCUGAACUUAA